rnacentral:rRNA from 1 species
UACGGGGGGGGCAAGCGUUGUUCGGAAUUACUGGGCGUAAAGGGCUCGUAGGUGGCCAACUAAGUCACACGUGAAAUCCCUCGGCUUAACCGGGGAACUGCGUGUGAUACUGGAUGGCUUGAGUUUGGGAGAGGGAUGCGGAAUUCCAGGUGUAGCGGUGAAAUGCGUAGAUAUCUGGAGGAACACCUGUGGCGAAGGCGGCCAUCUGGACGAUAACUAACGCUGAGACGCGAAAGCGUGGGUAGCAAACAGG